ACAGCGCCAGCGUAACUGAACCUUUUGCACGUUUUCUUCGUUACCACCAACUGAUUGUUUAACUGAAAUCACGUGACGAAGCCAAACUGUCGUUUUAUACUUCACACCUCUGCACUUUCAACAAUUUCAUAAGGCUCCUAUCUCAUGUUUCCAUCACCCAUCAGCGUGCUUGUGCACUCUGUUACUCCAAACGACGCCGUUCCCUCACACCCUCGGAGCUCGGACCAUGGCGGCCAUUGACGACGGAGGCAAGGCGGAGAAAUUCAUCAGUGGGAGAGAAGAAUUCGGCAACUCAUCCAACACGUUCAGCGCGAUUCUAGCGAUGGCGCUGUGGCUGGGAGCCAUUCACUUCAACAUUGCCCUCAUCCUCUUCGCCCUCUUCUUCCUUCCUCUCCCCAAAUUACUGUUGGUUUUUGGUUUUCUGUUUGUGUUUGCAGUGCUUCCUAUCGACGAGAAGAGCAGAUUUGGCCGAACAUUGUCGAGGUUCAUUUGCAAACACGCUUGCAAUUAUUUUCCCAUCACGCUUCACGUAGAGGAUAUGAACGCCUUUGAUCCGAACCGUGCUUAUGUUUUUGGUUAUGAACCACAUUCGGUUUUGCCAAUUGGCAUUGUGGCACUAGCUGACCACACUGGUUUCAUGCCUCUUCCAAAAGUUAGAGUUCUUGCUAGCAGCACGGUGUUCUACACACCAUUUUUGAGACACAUAUGGACAUGGUUGGGUCUUACACCAGCAACAAAGAAAAACUUUAUCUCCUUGCUAGCGUCUGGCCAUAGUUGCAUUUUAACACCUGGUGGAGUGCAAGAGACAUUCCUCAUGCAACAUGGCAUUGAGAUUGUUUUCCUUAAGGCACGAAGAGGAUUUGUCCGCAUAUCAAUGGUGAAAGGCCUACCUUUGGUUCCAGUUUUCUGCUUCGGUCAGUCAAAUGUCUAUAAGUGGUGGAAACCAGGUGGGAAGUUCUUCCUGAAAGUUGCAAGAGCUAUCAAAUUCACCCCAAUAUGUUUUUGGGGAAUUUUCGGAUCUCCAUUACCGUUCAGAUACCCAAUGCAUGUGGUGGUGGGAAGACCAAUUGAGCUCACCAAAAACCCCAACCCAACCACCGAGGAGAAGUUGGAGUAGUUAAACAAAACACUUGCGUCUGGUUUGAUCGAUAAGUCUUAUCCUUGGCUAGAGUGUUCGAGUACGAUGCAAUCUCUCCCCCAUAUGACAAACUACGAUCUUCCUUCUCAGUAGGACCACCCGCAUUUUCUGAUACAAAUAUUCUGGGUUGCCAAGAUACAUAGUAAGUUUGUGGAAGCACUUCAAGAUCUCUUUGAAAGGCACAAAGCUCCUGCUGGCUAUCCAAACCUUGAAUUAAAAAUUGUUUGAACUAGGCCUUAAUAUUGUACCAUAUUUUCAAUGGUUUUUUAUUUAUUAUUUUUUUGGGAUGGAGUUGGUAAAUGUAAGUUAGGCUAUAAAUUGCUAGUAAUACGAACAACUACCAUCUUGGGAAUAAAAUUGAUGAAUAAAGGGAAAUGAGGGAGUAGCUAUCUUUUCAAUAUUGCAUAUUAACUGGUUGUAAACCGCAUAACUGCCUAUUUAUAGCUUAUAAAUAGAAAUAGAGCUCAAAUUCUGUAUGUAGAUUGUAACAAACUAUUGUAUUCUUUGUAUAUCAAUAACAUUUUUCGGAUUUCUGAA